UGAUAUGAAAUAAGAUAGGAAGUGGAUAUUCGUCCGACAUUUCCAUAUCGUUAAAGUCGUUAAAAAUAAAACAGCGUAAAUUUAAUUGAAUUUCAAGCGAAUCCUUCGUAGUGUAGUGGUUUAGGCACCCGUAUUGUGUGCGCCAAGUUCUGGGAUCGAUUCCUGCUCGCGCCACUACUUUAUUAUUUUUUUUUAUACUUUUUUUUUCUUCGUGAUUUUCGCUUACGCACCGCGUACGAAACGUAUAGCGUAUCGAAUAUGUUGUUGCUUCGUUCUUAA